AGAACGAACGCUGGCGGCAUGCCUAACACAUGCAAGUCGAACGAGACCUUCGGGUCUAGUGGCGCACGGGUGCGUAACGCGUGGGAAUCUGCCCUUCGGUUCGGAAUAACAGUUAGAAAUGACUGCUAAUACCGGAUAAUGACGUAAGUCCAAAGAUUUAUCGCCGAGGGAUGAGCCCGCGUAGGAUUAGCUUGUUGGUGGGGUAAUGGCCCACCAAGGCGACGAUCCUUAGCUGGUCUGAGAGGAUGAUCAGCCACACUGGGACUGAGACACGGCCCAGACUCCUACGGGAGGCAGCAGUGGGGAAUAUUGGACAAUGGGCGAAAGCCUGAUCCAGCAAUGCCGCGUGAGUGAUGAAGGCCUUAGGGUUGUAAAGCUUCUUUACCAGGGAUGAUAAUGACAGUACCUGGAGAAUAGCUCCGGCUAACUCCGCGCCAGCAGCCGC
rnacentral:rRNA from 1 species